ACCCGAAUCCAUUACUUCUAUUUUAAACACUCGAUGGUCCUUGAAAACUUCUAAUUUAAUAAGUAAUAAUAUCUUUUAAAUUAAUAAUGUGCUGGAGUGUCAAAAUAAUUACGGGGUUCAAUACUCCGACGACGGAUAAAAUUAGUCAUAUCACGCAAAUCAACUGCUUUUGCGCACUGUACUAAAUUUUUAGGCAAAUAAGACUAAAUACUCGUCUGAAUCGCGAUUCUUUUACAUAACAAAACAAUAAACAUGUUUUGGUCCAAUUAAACAUGACGAUCUAGGGUGGACGGAUUAGCUCAGUGGUUUGCACGCUGUCUUUCCAAUCCAGAGGUUUGGAGUUCGAUCCCCGACAGAUGCCUCAGGAAUUUUCAGAAAUUUCCUGCUGAUGCAUACGAAUACAAAGAGUUACACAGUCCAAUUCAAACAAAAAAAACCGAUUAUGCAGUGAAUUUCGCUUUGGUUCUAUUCUGAGCUUCAAAUGGAUCUUAUUAAAGAUUUCAUUUUCUAGAUGAAGGUCAAACUCAAUAAAAAAAAUCGAGGAAUUUAAAAAAAAAUUAACAGUUUAACACAGUUGGAAGCCAUUACAUAUGGUACAAAUUCUGCAAGACAAAAUAAUGCAAACUGGCAGUAUAACCUGAUCAGUAGCACAUGGUAUCAGACACGGAAUAUCUUUUCUUCCGUUGAAGAAUUCUGGGAAAGACGAGCUAAAACUAGGAGCAGCUUGGAUAGCGGAAAAGACUCCCGUUGAAGAGUGUCAAGUGUUUUGUCAACCUGACUUCCAGUUGGAAUUGGACACCCAGUGGCUUGACACAGCUUACGCAGUGAAUCCCCAGGACCAUUGUUUACAGAGUGUAAAGCACUGUGAACACGUGAC